AAACUUUCAACAACGGAUCUCUUGGUUCCGGCAUCGAUGAAGAACGCAGCGAAAUGCGAUACGUAAUGUGAAUUGCAAAUUCAGUGAAUCAUCGAGUCUUUGAACGCACAUUGCGCCCCCUGGUAUUCCGGGGGGCAUGCCUGUCCGAGCG
rnacentral:rRNA from 1 species